GACCUCGUUGCUCAGUUGGUAGAGCAUUGGACUAGCAUACCGAAAGUCGCGGGUUCGAUUCCCACCGUGGUCA